CAGAACAGAUCACACCCACGCAAAUCACUCCACCGCGCUUUCCCCAUUCCCUCGCCGCCGCCGCCGCCGCCGCCCCGUCAAUCUCCUCCUCCGCGGCGGCGCCGCCAUGCUCCGGCUCCGGUGCUGCCUCCUCACCCAGCUCCUCUCAUCUCCCUCCGCGUCUCCCGCCUCCCACCUCCGCCGCCUCUUCUCCGCCGCCGCGCCCGCCGUCUCCCUGAACCCUAGCUUCGCGGUGGAGGAGUACCUCGUCGCCACCUGCGGCCUCACCCGACCCCAGGCCCUCAAGGCCUCCGCCAAGCUCUCCCACCUCAAGUCCCCCUCCAAUCCCGACGCCGUCCUUGCCUUCCUCGCCGGCCUCGGCCUCUCCAGCGCCGACGUCGCCGCCCUCGUCGCCAAGGACCCGCAGUUCCUCUGCGCCAAAGUGGAGAGAACCCUGGCCCCCGUCGUCGCUGGGCUCACCGGCCUCGGCCUCUCACCUUCUGACAUCGCGCACCUCGUCUCGCUCUCCCGUGACAAGUUCCGAUGUAGAUCCUUCGUCUCAAAUCUGCAAUACUUCCUGCACCUCUUCGGCUCCUUUGAGAACCUCCUCCCUGCUCUCAGGCGCGGCUCAUGCUUUCUCUCAGCCGACCUUGAGACAGUGGUCAAGCCCAAUGUUGCCUUCCUGCGUUCCUGCGGGCUAGGUGACUGUGACAUUGCCAAGUUGUGCAUGGCUCAGCUAAUGCUGCUUGGCUCCAACAUAGAGUGCGUCCGGGCAAUGGCAGCACGCGCCCAAGAUAUUGGUGUGCCCUGUGGCUCUCGGAUGUUCAGGCACGCGCUGCAGGCUGUUGCAUUCCUCAGCAAUGAGAAGAUCGCCGCCAAAGUGGAGCACUUGAAGAAGAUGUUCAGGUGGUCUGAUGCCGAGGUGCACAUUGCUUUGUCCACGCUUCCGCCUCUGCUGAUGAGGUCUAACCAUAUGCUGGAGAGCAAGUCAGAGUUCCUAAUAUCCAAGGUGGGGUUUGAACCAGCAUACAUUGCUCAUCAUCCGGCAUUGCUCACAUACAGCCUGGAGGGCCGGAUCAUACCCCGGUACUAUGUUGUAAAGUUUCUCAAGGAAAAUGGACUGCUGGAUCACAACCGGAGCUACUAUUCUGCAGUCAUUGUGAUGGAGAAAGUAUUCGUGGACAAGUACAUAUCCCCUCACAAGGAAGUUGCACCAUACCUUGCUGAAGACUAUGAUGCCGCUUGCAGAGGGGAAGUGCCGACUAGAUUCAAAUUUACAUGAAAAUUGGUAACACUAUGGCACAACAAUUUUUUUUUACAUUCCGUGUUAUGCUAUUCAUUCCUGAUUUGGUGUUCUUGGCCUAACUGAAUUGUAGUUGUCUGCUAUUGAUAAUCUAUAGUAUGUUUGUUACAUGCUGAUUUGAUGGUGCUAGUCUAGGAUCAUGAAAUUGGCAAUUUGAUUUGAGAGUAUUGGUAUGCUCAUUAUGGCAUUCAAUUAGAGAAGAAAGCAUCGUACCACUAGCUUGUGCACUCUAAGGUUGCAUUGACAUACAUAUUGGAUUUACGGGAAUCUUUGUGAAAACCAUGGAGCGGCUGCUCCAGCCAUGGAUACCCUUCAUUUCCACCUCGAGAUAGGAGCCAUGUCAGAGAAAGCACCGCACAGUACUAAGCACUCUCUGACACAUAUCCCCACAACAUUACGUUUGAAAUGGAUGGCGUCCAAGAGUGGAGCAGUGGUUUCAUGGAGCUAAAAAAGUCUCUCUAAGAACUAAUGGAAUUAAAGAGAGUGAGAGCAGGACAUUCUGCAAAUACUUUCAAGUAUCUUUAUGUUCUCAAAUGACCAUAGCAUUUUCAGGUGCACCUCAAUCUAUCUUUUCAUGAAAGAAGGUUCUCAUUUUGGCCAAAGAUGACACAGACUUCCAAAUUUUCUCUGGAUGGAAGUAUGUUUAUCACCGCCAAGGAUGCAGUUUGGAUCUAAAGAUGUGCUAAAACCGGAUGCAGAUGCAUGGUGUCCCCUUCUUGUUCUUCCAGGAGAUCGACGAAGCAGGGCGCUUUGACUCUGCUAUCAUGUAUGUGAUUCUGAAGGUAUUUGUGGACUUGACGCCUUGCGUGAAGAAGCUCCUACUUUUGUCCUUUUGAAAUUUGCAAUUUCAGUAAACCUUAUUUCUAGUAAUUCUGAAUCAGAAUAAGAUCUGAUUAGUUAACUCUGAAUCUUUCAGCCACCAAGUUAAGAUAUCUAUAGUAACCGCUUAAAUGUUAUAGCCA